rnacentral:lncRNA from 1 species
CUAGAGGAGCAGAAAUGCCACCAAUGCCAAGUGCCCCACCUGUGCAUCCACCUCCAGAUGGAGGAUGGGGUUGGAUUGUGGUUGGAGCAGCUUUUAUCUCCAUUGGAUUUUCCUAUGCAUUCCCCAAAGCUGUCACCGUAUUCUUCAAAGAAAUUCAGCAAAUAUUCCACACUACCUACAGUGAAAUAGCAUGGAUUUCAUCCAUUAUGCUGGCUGUUAUGUACGCAGGAGAUAAUCCUGAGUUCAUGUAUAUGACUUACACUGAUACAGAAAUACAA